CUUGUGUACAUCAUGUGGACCUUGGCUUGUCUCUUAAAAAAAUCAAUCUUUGCAUUAUUUUAUAUAAAUUGUACAUGCAAACCAUUGGUAGUAGUACAGAAAAGAAAAUCAUAAUAUUUGUCACAUGGUGUCUUCCUGAAGCAGUUUAACUUUACACCUAUGGACAUUAGUAUACUCUUUAUUCAGCUUGAAAAAUAGAUUUGCAAAGUUGUAGGACCAGGUUGUCCAACCCAUC